GACAAAAACCAUCUGGGUUAUGACAGACAUCUUUGACCUAGUGCUUAAAGGAAACAGGCCUUGCCUCCUGUCAUCACAAGGCACAGAAGAAGAGGGAUGACUAAAGAUGGAACUUUGGUAAUUUUAGCCAGAGGAAGGUGCAAAACUGAACUGAUCUAACCUUUGACCAGUCUCUACUCCACCACCUCACCUUUAGAUGCUCUACCGAAACUACAGGCACUGUAAUGGAACCUAAAGCAUUUAUUCUUUUUGAGGGAAUGGGGGUAAAGUAGAAGAUACUUUAGCCUCAGAUCUUAAUCUUAAAAAGCCUCUGAUAUUUUAAUGAUGACACUUAGUUCUCAACAAUUAGUCAUAAACUUUUAAACCUGGUAUUUCAUAGAAGUUUGAAAACUUGAUAUACAGCACUUGCAAUACAAGGUUGCAAUGUAUUUGUCACAUCAGGUCACCACUGUACCAGGUGAGUAGUUUCCACUCCCCUGUUCUCCACCAACCCCAUUCACCAAUCCCAGGUAGAUAUCACAAAAACAGCUCAACAACUUUUAACUUUCAUAAAAAUAAAAGUACAUAGGUAUAAUCUCUAUAUAAUUUUAACUGUUUAACAGGAUUUAAAUAUCUGCCUGUGUUACCACAUGUGAACACUUUCAUAUAAAGUAAGAAUUACAGAUGGAUUAAGACUGCAGGAUCAAGAGAAUAUGUUAAUAUGUAACACUAUUGCAAUUUGUCCUCCAUGAUCAAUAUCAAGCAUCAAGAUGAGGCAUUUUCAAUAUAGGAGACCAAUUUUAAGGCACCUAAAAAUUCUUCGUUACUGAAAACAGUCUGUCUCCUAUGCUUGCACUUGAGUAUGGAAUUAGCAUGCUUAGCAGCACAGCCCAUAAACAGUUUUACAUGCUCAUAUAUACAGCUGUGGUCAAGGAAUUAUAUUUAUAAUGAGAUCACACUGAACACAUAUUUAAAGAAAACAGUUUAACCUUGUAAGCAUAAGGAAAUGUGAUGCCUAUUGAGCCAGACAGUUGAUUCAUUCUGAGUAUUAACCCUCCCCAAAUACACAUUAUGAGAUCUCAAUAUUAGAAUUGAGCAAUAACCCCCAACUGCUGAAUAAUUAAAUCAGCCCCCACUGUACAUUGUCUACAAGUGAGUAGGAAACAAAAGGUGAGCUUUUAGCAUUUUGGCAGACAGGUGAUAAAUCCACCAGCUGCAGCAAGUACUUUCUGCAAAGCUCUCAUGAUAAAUAUAGCAUGUGCCAGCUGGGGUUUUUUUGGUUGAAUUAUACUAUAAUAUGAUUCAGUUACUCUUAGUAAUUAUGAAUUUUGUAUACUGCCAGUACCUGCAUCUGUCUCUCAUCCUGCUAAUUUUUUUCUUUAAUGAACAACUUAAAAUAAGCAGCUACAGCUGCCAAACAUUACACAAGUGCAGCCAAGAAUAAUGUUUUAGAAAUGGAGGAAACUUCUUUAUCUCAAAUGCUGUGCAAUUCACUGCAUGUACUCUACAGGAUGCAGGGAAAAGAAGGCAGUCAUGGCCAACAUUUCAUACACUGCCACCAAAAAAGGUCAUUGCUCAGAGGCAGAUUCUUUUCAACUACAGAAGAGAUAAAAAUGAGAACUCCAAACCCCACACAUGGCUACAGGGAUUCCCAACUAUGACACAGAAAUGUGUGAGAGGCAGAAACGCGAACACAGACACCCAAAAUAGCUGCAAUCAGACGACUUAAGCUAAGUAUUUCAAUUUAAAAACAAUAUGGCAAGGAUUCCCUUUUUUUAAGUACUGACAAUAAUAAUUCAAGUGAAUAUUAAAAAAAUUAAGCCAUUCAGUAUAGUUAUUCAAAUAUAAUGGAUUUAUACUACAACAAGUAUUUUUGUUUUUUUCCCCCCAAAAAGCUGAAUCUACUAGACAUAAUGGCAGAUGGGUAGGAUUAUUAAUUUACUAAUUCAUACUAUGUAUUAUUAUUACAUUUUAUUACAUUUUUAUUUAAAGAGUUCAGAUUUUUAAAGUUCCUCAAAUGUUACAUGGAAGUACAGUUAUCAUCUUUAUCAUUUAAGGUAAUGCUUAUGAAUUGUUUCAUGUACUGUUUCGUAGAAGAACAGACCUGUGCAUACCUAUUUCUACCCAAUUCAAGCUAAACCGUACCUUAACCAAGCAAACAUCCACGUCUGACAGGCCAAAGCAAUAUUCAUGGCAGAGCUGAGAAAACUGUCAAUGCCCUGUCAAGUUUUCAAGUUAGAAGACCUACCUUUUUCUCUGUCUGCAGUUUUCCAGAUCUACUCCAAUGAAGUGCAUUCUAUGGAUAAUUCAGUUAUUUGAUUCAGUAUGACACUUUGCUUAUCCAAGUGAAUCUUAUCCUGAUGCCUGCUCCAAACAGAAUCAUGUUCAACAAAGAUAAGCUCGUGGUGUUGGCCACUGGUGCAGAGUCUGUACAUGUAGUUAGAACUCGAAGUAUCUACAAUGGAACAGUGAUCCAUGUCGCAAGCAGCACUGACGUUCUCAUUUACCUUCAAGACUGACUUUGGCACAAGGAUAGUGAAGCAAAACCGGUUCCUUGCCCUCCUGCAAGGUGAAGGUGAGGUCUAUUACCAAUAAAUCCUCCUUAAGAUGCAUAAAGCAUCUUAAAAUGCUUAGAGGGAAGAAAACUUCUCAUAAAUUAAGACUAUAAUAUAUUUUUAUGAAGAAAAUGGUGCAAUUUAGUCUACAAGUUCAACGCAUUGCCUACUGUUUCAGCAGUGAUUCUGAAUUUCAAAUUCAGUUUUAUCAGCAACUUUAUCAUGUUUAACUUGAAUGAGAUCCAAACGUCCAGGGAAGCACAGAAUAAUUUUCAAUGAAGCCUGGAACUAUCAGUUAACUUAACAACAUUUUUAUCUACAGGUUUUUCAUGGAUUCUCAUUUAAUUUACAAAAUCAUUACUCUGUUCUAUUGUUACAGGUUGCAAAAUUUACUUUUCCUUCUUAAUUUUUUUAAAAUCAAAAAUCACCUAACAUUCACUGAUGUUUCUUCAUUGCUUAGAAGUAUUUAUUUAAUACCUUCUUCAUACAUACGGAUUACACCUCACCAACAGAACACUUCCAGACUUAAAAGGUGACAAAUGAGGAGCACAAUGUGGAAAAGUUAGCAGCAGCUGCUGGGAACUUAAUAAAGAAGCCACAAUGUUUCCUUCACAUGGAAAAUGAAAACAAGGAGGACAGAAGUGGAGAAACACCAAGAGAUCAUGAAUUUAAGGGGCUCCUCUGCCUCCUGUCGUUCUGGACUUCCCACUGGUCCCAGCCCGCUCUGUGCCCUCCGCUCCUGACCGCUCCAGCACCAGCGCUGCAUGUUGGAGCUCUCCCGGCCGCUGCUGUUGCCAUUGUUGUUGCUUUCUGUGUGACAAUGCCGCAGGGGCCACGUGGAACUGCUUUGCUGGCUCAGCAACACAGAAGUGGACAGAGUGAUUUUCUGGGUGAGAUUCUUUAUUAAUGUGUGUUUGUUGUUUUAUUUUGGUUUUGCCCUUUUUUUUAGUAAAAUUUGUUACUUUGUUUAUACUCCUUCCUUUUAAGUCCCAUUAUUUUUAAUGGAUAGGAUGCAGGACCUCCCAUUGAAGGUCCCACCUCCUCAGUAACAUUGUCUUUAACCCAAGACAACCCCUAACAGAGCAGGAAGAAAACAGUUUAUAACACAAAGCGUUCACAGCUAGGUGCAUUUUUUGUAUCUUGUUCAUUAAUAGACUUCCCAGUUUGAAAAAUUCAGGACGUUUUAGCCAGAGCACUAAAUUAAGAAUUGUCUGCUUUGUUUUGUCUCUGAGUUUGAAGAGCAACUCCAGGCUAAAAGGAAGUGUUUAUCUUUUUAACUGCUCAACAGUGUUGAACUGUUAAGCCGAAACAGAAUCAGUUCUAAGAUCCUCCGCUUAUUCCCACAGACAUUAACUAAACUGGGUUUCACCUACUGAUGGCUACAACCUCUGGAUGGGUAUUAAAGUUCUGCCUUGGAACCAAACACAAUUUUCCAAAAGUCUGACUGGAACUGAAGCUUAGCAUUAAAACACAAAGAGCCCAUAUUAGACAAGAGUUUACCAAGCCCUAUAUCCUAUUUUCUAAAGGGGCAAAGAGCAGAUACUUUAGAAUUGUGAAAAUAGGGGGUCUAAUUUUUUUUGAUCAACAGGCUUAUCAAGACUUGCUGGAUUAGGUCCUGUACUUUAGGAAGUUUUGGUGGAUCCCCCUGUUGUGCAUGUUACUGUUUUCAUAUCUAUACUUCUGGUAUACACAUGACAGUUUAAUCACACAUUGUAUAUAAAAAUUUCUUUAAAGGCCUUUCCACAUAUCUAGAUUUCUUUGUUGACUCCUCCUGCACUUUCCUAGUUUUCCUAUGUCUUGUCUGAAAUGGGCUGACCUAAACUGCACAUGAAGGGGCAUUAUGUUUAAAGGCUUUUUUUUUUUUAAACUCCCAUUAUGAACAUCCUAUUAAUUGUAUCGAGCACCACUGAGGAUUGUGUGAAAGUGUGGAUCUCUCUUAAGAACACAAUCUCCUAAAUUGGUUUUUGACUGGUAAGACUAAACUCAGCAGCCAAUAUGGUAUGUUUGAAUUUUUUCUGCCAUUUUAUAAUAGACUAAUAAACAUAUUUUCAAAUUUUUCCAGACUGCAGACUUUACCCACUCAUUACUCAGUCACUUUUUCUGAACACAGAUCUCUCUCUCGGUGCCUUAUGUCCCUCAUAGAACAAAAAAGUCCCUUUAGUUUAGCUGUUCUUUCCUAGCCAUUUUUAAGUGAUAAAUUCAUAACAGAACCUUCCUUUUCAGUCUGACAGCAGAAUUUGUUAGUAUGUAUGUGAUAAGAAACUGUCAAAAAUUUUGGAAAAUUCAUGUUCAGGUACAGUAUUAUCACUUCGAUCACAUUUAUCCAGGCACUCAACAUAUUGUUUGAAAUUUAUACUCUAUGACAAGCCUAAGUAAUGUCAUAUCCCAGUUUGCUAUCUAUGCGUUACUAAUUUUAGUACAACAGACAUAAAAGAAGCCAGCUCGUGCAUGUGUAUAUGCCUGUGAGAAUAUGCAAUCAGGCUCUUCACAACUGUAAGUGAUGAAAGUAUUCUAAUUUCUAAGAAAUAUCUUUAUCCAAUGACUUACCUGACU